CCUACGGGGGGCAGCAGUAGGGAAUCUUUCACAAUGUGCGAAAGCCUGAUGGAGCAACGCCGCGUGCAGGAUGAAGGCCUUCGGGUUGUAAACUGCUUUUAUAAGCGAGAAAUAUGUUGGUAACUUAUGAAUAAGGAUCUGCUAACUACGUGCCAGCAGCCGCGGUCAUACGUAGGAUCCGAGCCUUCUCCGUGGUGACUGGGUGUAAAGAGUUGCGUAGGUGUCAUAAUAAGUAGCUAGAGAAAUAUGGUGGCUCAACCAUUCAGACUAUUAGCGAAACUGUUAAGCUAGAGACCGUUAGGGGUAAGUGGAAUUUCUAGUGUAGGAGUGAAAUGCGUAGAUAUUAGAAAGAACACCAAUGGCGUAGGCAGGUUACUGGGACGGUUCUGACACUAAGGCACGAAAGCGUAGGGAGCAAACGGGAUUAGAUACCCUUGUAGUC
rnacentral:rRNA from 1 species